GCUCCUCUCUCGCUUCUCUUCUCGUUGAAACCCUUUCCUCCAAUGUCACCAUCGCGGGAGCUCGAUCGAAGAUCCAUGGCCAGCUUCAGAGGAGGGAGGGAGGCCUGUGACUAGCUGGUUGGAGGUUGAUUCUCAGUGGAAAUAAUGGAAAGAUCAAAGCUGAUGAGAUGCAUUUGGAAUGAGGUGAUGACUCACGAAAGCUCAAGGAUUGUGUUAAUAUGUACCUUUUGAAAGUUGCUCCAAAUCUUGAAUUUCUGUUAAUCUAAUUAAUAAGAGGAUAGAUACCAGUUCAAUCUAGGCCAUUGUUACGCCAGCAUGUCAUCCUCUUCAUGUGCCUUAUUGGAAUCUUCUGUUCCUUUCGAUUCUCUUGACGAGCAAUGCAUUUAGGAAGUGGUCAAUAAUGAUGAGGUAUGGCUUGUUUACCUGUACUUUAAGUAUUGCCCACCAAGUAUUCAGACUUGAAUGGUUGAAUAUAUUGUCUUUGUUAUCUUGGUUCCAUUUGUUAACACUGCAUUUAUGUCUAAUAAAAAAUUCAUACUAAUACUAGUCUGCAAAUGUACGAGGCAUUGUUUCCCAUAUGCUUGUGCAUGUGCAGUUGCGCAU